GGUGGGUUCGCCUAAUGGUAGGGCACUAGUCUUGAAAACUAGCGGGCGAAAGCCCUUGCAGGUUCGACUCCUGCACCCACCG
rfam:Candidatus Sungbacteria bacterium RIFCSPHIGHO2_02_FTLL_47_11 rifcsphigho2_02_scaffold_40133, whole genome shotgun sequence.